UACGGAGGAUCCGGGCGUUAUCCGGAUUUAUUGGGUUUAAAGGGUGCGUAGGCGGACUAGUAAGUCAGUGGUGAAAUCCUGCAGCUUAACUGUAGAAUUGCCGUUGAUACUGUUAGUCUUGAGUACAUUUGAGGUAGGCGGAAUGUGGUGUGUAGCGGUGAAAUGCAUAGAUAUACCACAGAACACCGAUUGCGAAGGCAGCUUACUAAAACUGUAACUGACGCUGAGGCACGAAAGCGUGGGUAUCAAACAGG
rnacentral:rRNA from 1 species